rnacentral:lncRNA from 1 species
GAAGUCUUUUCGCCUCUACAAUCAAGCUCUCCCAAUAAACGUGUGCAGAAGGAUCCUGUUGCAGCGUCGUUCUUCCUGGCCAGUCGAGCGCGCGCAAGAGAAGAGUAUAAGAGUAUUCCAUUGUGGGUACAUACCUCGUUUUCCACAUCCGUUUGUCAGUUGAUGACAGCGAUGAUGGUGAUGACGAUGACGAUGACGACAACUAUGACAAUGACUUCAUACUCAGGUUGAACUGGUUAAGAUGAUGCUAGAUUUCAUCCAGUGUGGACAAUGAAACACACAGCAGGGACUGUCAUCUGAAGAGAGGGAACAGGCAAUGGACUGGUGGGGAUAACCGGACAAGGAACACUGGUACUUGUAAAGGCAGGCUCUGAGGAUUGGAUUCAGGUCAUGAGGCUUGCCCGCAAGUGGCAUUUGCCAUCUCACCAGCCCUCCCCAAUCAAAGACAAUGUCCACACGAAGGAUGUUUUAAAUGAAGCGCCAAGUCCUCCAAGCCAACUGCCCCAUGAGCCUCUGUUCAAUUUAUUCGACUCCCGGAUCACUGUAAGAAUGCUGAGGUUACAGCUGUGUACCACCUCAUCAAGCUUUCUCCUGGGUUUCAGGGAUUGAACUUGGUUCAUCAAGUUUGUGUGGAAUGUAUCUAUAAAGACUGGCCUUGGCACCUCUGGUAAGAAUGAGCUAGUGAUAAACCUCAUGUGUGAUGAUGGCUUCUUUCAAAGAGAAGCACCGGGAUUUGAAAGCCAUUGGUGGGGAGCAUCGUGACCCUGUCCUUCUGGAAAUCCUCACCUUGACUGCAGAGGACCUGGCUGUUGCUGUCUUAGGAAUCAGUUGGGCUUGUGCUAGUUGACAUAUCUAACAUUUCUUUGUCUUUCUCUUUUCUUAAGGAUAAUCUUUCUACACUUCACAAUGUUCAGAUUCUCCAGAGUUCUAGACUUGACCCACCGUUCAUCCUAAUCCUCUGGACUUCUAACCAGAUCCCUUCUCUCCCUGAGCCUUCAUUAUCAGCCCUCAUAGACUCCCUAGCUCAUGGUAGAGCCAUGUCAGAUUCCCACUGAAUGGUUCUAGCCAAUGGACCUCAGACACUUAGAUUCCUCCUCACAAAGCUAAUCUCUUGUCACUUUUCUUUUAUG